AACAAGGUUCCAAAAAGAGAAGUUAGAGAAAGAACUGAAGUAGUUGAAGGGGUUUGUCACCCCAUAAGAAGAACAAUAUCAACCAACCAAACCCCUGCCCUCGAUCUUCCAUGGACUAAACAACCAUCCCAAGAAUACACAAGGAUGAGCCUAUGGCUCCAUCUGCAUAUGAAGCAGAGGAUUUCCUUUUCAGGCACCAAUGGGAGCAAAUACCCUUGGUCCUGUCAUGGCUUGAUGCCCCAGUGUAGGGAACUGUCAGAAUGGGCAGGUUGGAAGGAGUGAGUGGGUGAGUGGGGAACUGCCCUCAUAGAACAGGAGGCAUGAGGGGAAAUAAUAGCUGGUUUCUAGAGGGCAAAUCAGGAAAGGGGAUAAUAUUUAAAAUGUGAAUUUAAAAAAUCCCCUCCCCCAAUGAGAGAAAAAGAAAGAGAAAUAGAGAAAGAAAAAGAAAAACAAAUGGGUGUACAUAACUAAACAAAAGCAGGCUGGCGAUGUGGAGGCGUUAUUCCCAUGAUAGUCAAGCAGCUUCCGGGAAACCAAAGUCUUAGGGUUCCAGGGGAGUAUGGUUGCAAAGCUGAAACUUAACGGAAUUGAUGGAAGGGCACCACCAGGAGUGGAGCCCGCAGCUUAAUUUGACUCAAGAUGGGAAACCUCACCCAGCCCGGACACAGACAGGAUUGACUGAUAGCUCUUUCUCGAUUCCCUGGGUGGUGGUGCAUGGCCGUUCUUAGUUGGUGGAGCGAUAUAUUUGGUUAAUUCCGAUAACGAACGAGACGCUGGCAUGCUAACUAGUUACACUACCCCCGAGCACUCUGUGUCCCCCAACUCCUUAGAGGGACAAGUGGCAUUCAGCCAUCAAGAUGGAGCAAUAACAGGUCUGUGAUGCCCUUAGAUGUCUGGGGCUGCACGCGUGCCACACUGACUGGCUCAGUGUGUGCCUACCCUACGCCGGCAGGCGUGGGUAACCCAUUGUACCUCAUUUGUGAUGGAGAUCAGGGAUUGCAAUUAUUCCCAAUGAACGAGGAAUUCCCAGUAAGUGCGGGUCAUAAGCUUGCGUCGGUUAAGUCCCUGCCCUUUGUACACACCGCCCUUCCCUACUGCCGAUUGGAUGGUUUAGUGAGGCCCUAGGAUCGGCCCCGCCAGGGUAGGCCCACAGUCAUGGCGGAGCGCUGAGAAGACGGUCGAACUUGACUAUCUAGAGGAAGUAAAAGUCGUAACGAGGUUUCCGUGAACCGGCGGAAG
rnacentral:rRNA from 1 species